CGCGUUCUCAGAGGAUGGAGAUGUUUGUUGGCAUGAAAAUCGGAUCACCACUUGGCUCCACCGCGAUCACUAUUGCAGAGGUCGGGUGAUGCAAAAUGAGUUGAUUUAUAAAUAAGAUGUCCCAUCAAAAUACUGCUUGAUGUCCGAGUGAGCCCUCUCUAAGAGGUUCAGCAUCUGUAGUGUGUUUUGCACUGUUCCUGAGACUGUGCUCAGGUUCUCCGACAGCGUGCUGAAUCAACAGGCAGACUUUGGCGUCCGCAUCGGUCACUCGACUGUCCAACACUCCCCACUGGCCGCUGAAGUGAUCUUGCAUGGUGGUUUCUGUGUGCUCUGUUAAUAGUUACAGGUGCUGAUGACCUGUAGGACUGGUGGAGCUCGUGCAGCUCCUGACCAGCAAGUGGAAGUUGUAAAAUGAGUGAUGCAAGUCAAACCUAAUAUUAAAGUGUGGCUUGGUCUUUCA